GACGAACGCUGGCGGCGUGCUUAACACAUGCAAGUCGAACGGAAAGGCCCUGCUUGCAGGGUACUCGAGUGGCGAACGGGUGAGUAACACGUGGGUGAUCUGCCCUGCACUUCGGGAUAAGCCUGGGCAACUGGGUCUAAUACCGGAUAGGAGCCAUUUUUAGUGUGAUGGUUGGAAAGUUUUUUCGGUGUAGGAUGAGCUCGCGGCCUAUCAGCUUGUUGGUGGGGUAAUGGCCUACCAAGGCGGCGACGGGUAGCCGGCCUGCGAGGGUGGACGGCCACAUUGGGACUGAGGUACGGCCCAGACUGCUACGGGAGGCAGCAGUGGGGAAUAUUGCACAAGGGGCGCAAGCCUGAUGCAGCGACGCCGCGUGGGGGAUGACGGCCUUCGGGUUGUAAAAUCCUUUCGCUAGGGACGAAGCUUUUUGUGACGGUACCUAGAUAAGAAGCACCGGCUAACUACGUG
rnacentral:rRNA from 1 species